rnacentral:lncRNA from 1 species
AUGGUGAAGGUUAUAAGACUAUUAAACUACCAGGGAAUGACGAAUUUGAACCCAUACCAAGUGUUACAAGGUAUGAUGGUGAUGGUUAUAAGAGUAUGAAACUAUCGGGGAAUGAUGAGUUUGAACCCAGACCAAGUGUUACAAGGUAUGACGGUGACGGUUAUCAGAGUACAAAACUAUCGGUGAAUAAUGAGUUUGAACCUAUACCAAGUGUUACAAAGUAUGGCGGUGAUGGUUAUAAGAAUACCAAAUUAUCGGUGAAUAGUGAGUUUGAACCCAUACCAAGUGUUACAAGUUAUGGCAGUGAUGGCUAUAAGAGUAUGAAACUACCGGUUAAUGACGAGUUUGAACCCAGACCAAGUGCUACAAAGUAUGAUGGUGAUGGUUAUCAGAGUACAAAACUAUCGGUGAACAGUGAGUUUGAACCCAUACCAAGUGUUACAAGUUAUGGC